GUGGAUUAGAUACCCUGGUAGUCCAUGCCGUAAACGUUGGGCACUAGGUGUGGGGUCCAUUCCACGGAUUCCGUGCCGCAGCAAACGCAUUAAGUGCCCCGCCUGGGGAGUACGGCCGCAAGGCUAAAACUCAAAGAAAUUGACGGGGGCCCGCACAAGCGGCGGAGCAUGCGGAUUAAUUCGAUGCAACGCGAAGAACCUUACCAAGGCUUGACAUACACCGGAAACGUGCAGAGAUGUGCGCCCCGCAAGGUCGGUGUACAGGUGGUGCACGGUUGUCGUCAGCU
rnacentral:rRNA from 1 species